rnacentral:lncRNA from 1 species
CAACCGCAACGCAAAACAACAUUGAAUUAUUAAAGUAUACUAUGACGUAUAUAGAUAGUAGCGCUAUAUAAUUAUGAUAUUACAGCACUGGAGAUGCCAUGUAGCCUAUCACUGUCUCCGUUUCAUAGCUGGUCUAAAUUGUAUUGGUAGCAAUAGCUAAAUUUUUGCCCUCGAGAAAGAGCAAUAUUGCUGAUGUGACUGCUCUCAUAUUCCAGGCAUCACACUGUCGUUAUUUUGAGGGAAGUGUGAACGCCUGAGCAGGCGUCUUGUUCCAUUGAAAAGCACAAAGGCGUCAAAGGUUGACCAAACUCUGGGUACGAGGUUGGGUGGAAAUUAAGUUCAAACUCAGUUGAAACAGAAUUAUAGCUAGAUUAUAUAGUAAUAGUAUAUUAUAGGUAAACAAACAUAAUAUAUGAUAUAUAGUGCCAAAUGGCAAAUGUGUGUAAAAACUGACUUUCGAGUUAUUAUUUUAAAUUAAAAUGCUCCCAAAUCAUCCAUCUACACAGCGUGGAAAUUUAUAAUUACUAUUUCUUGCAUAUAUGGGCUCUCUUUCUAAGCCUUUGCUCAGUUAUACGUUAUGUAGUUCAAACCACUACUGGAUUUUAACAAAAGGAAUUAUAAAAUUAGGUUAGGAUGAAAACGCAUUCCCAAAUAUACAAUGAGUACUCUAAAAUUGAUUGCGCUUAAACUUUGAACUUUGAGUCGAUUCGAAGAUCAAAUUCACAGUGAAAUAUAACUCUAUUGGAUUACAAACAGAAAAUAUAUCGUUAUGGCAAAUGUUAGCCUAUGCCAGAAUUUUAUACCAGAUCGAAUUUUACAAUUUUUUGCUUGGUUUUAAACGAAAUCUGAAGCAAACUUUUACUUACGAUACCCGUAAUUGACAAGCGCGCAAACAUGAUAUGAUAUUGCAUAUACGGACCAGCUGUAGUGCGCUUGGCGACUCGUUCUUUUAUAAUUCCCCAGCGCCAGCUUCUGUUUCUGUUACUGCUAAACGUCGAAUUGUCACUACUUGAACGAAUCUGGC